rnacentral:piRNA from 1 species
UGUCCAGCACCUGUGUGUCUAUCUGCUAGGU